UCUUGAUUUCGUUACUCUUUUCUCGUUUUUUUUUUCCUUUUAUGGCCUCUUUGCUUGAUGCUGAUUGACUUUGUUGAGAUGCGAUAUUGUUCUGUUCGUUGUUUCUUGUUUUGCUGAAUCUUGAACUUGGUUAGAUGAACUCCGACUUUUCAUAUGACGAAAUAUUGGUUGAUUGGAAGCAUAGAAGGGAAUUGUUGUUUUAUAAGUGGUGUACAAGGGCAUUUAGUCUCGUAUUUGAUUCAAGAAGUACGGCUUAUAUGUCUUUCUUGUGAUCUAUGCCCUAGAAUCUUGUUUUCUCCUUGAUCUGAACUUGCAAAUUAAACGCUAAGAAAUAUAGAGAUCGCACUGAUGACUGAUUUCGAUAAUUAGCAUGUGGAUGAUGGAUUAUCUGCUUUAAAAUUUCUUGAAGUUUCGAAUCUACAAUUAGGAAACGAGCUUCCUCUAUCUUUUUCUUGGUGUAUUUCACUGACGACUUUGUAUGGUAGAGCGAUCCAAGUUUUCUAACUCUUUUGACUUUUGAACAAUGAUUUGAACUGUAGACUAAUGCAAAUUUUUACAUUUCACUCGAUCACAUCUCUGUGAAAUAUCUUUUAUAUAAUUAUACAAAACAAAAUUCAGUACAACCAGUAAGUAUAAUACAUGUAUUCACGUUGCAAUAUUCAGUUUUAAGCAACUUUAUUCCUGGAAGGAAGUGCUCUCCCCUACUUAUAUAAUCAUAUGUCCUACAAAUAAAUAACAAGCAUCUCAAACAAAAAACUUCCUGAUCUAAUAUUACGGCUUGUUUGAAUUUAAGUGUUUAAAUAAGUGUUAUGUGGAAAAAAAGAAAUCUUCUAAGCACUUAGAAAGUUUUUGAAACAUGCUCUUAAUCUUCAAGUCUUAUCACACAACGAUUCUAAGGUCACCUGUUAUCCUGGUCUUGUAAGGUUUUGACAUGCCCCAUUUUCAAACAUGCCCAAAAUU